UACGAAGGGGGCUAGCGUUGCUCGGAAUGACUGGGCGUAAAGGGCGCGUAGGCGGACUGGUCAGUCAGACGUGAAAUUCCUGGGCUCAACCUGGGGGCUGCGUUUGAGACGGCUGGUCUAGAGUUUGGAAGAGGGUUGUGGAAUUCCCAGUGUAGAGGUGAAAUUCGUAGAUAUUGGGAAGAACACCGGUGGCGAAGGCGGCAACCUGGUCCUUGACUGACGCUGAGGCGCGAAAGCGUGGGGAGCAAACAGG
rnacentral:rRNA from 1 species